CAUUUCCUUUUCGAUUCCUUAUAGGCUUAAAUGCAUUUGUGUGACUACUACAGUCGUGCCUCUUAGAACGAAUCUUCCAUGUUCCAGACAGAGAAGGAGACUGAUCUCCAGGAAAAGGAGAAUAGAGUGCUGGACAUCUACUAGUGAGAAGAGCGGGCAGAUGGUCCACGAAUGGAGGACAUGCAACCCAAGCAGGAUUGUAGAAAGAGGAAUAUGACUUUAUUCCUCUUAGGAGAAACAUACCUUUGGAACAAAUAGAGACCAUUUUAGAAAACUACAACAAAUCAAAAUUCAAAGAAGAAGCGAUUGUGUGGUAUG